GUGUGUAAAUCUUGUAAAUACACGGAAACUCUAGUGAUCUGGUGUUUACAUAUCUCUACUAAUUUUUACUGAAUUAAACAUCACUAAACAGAACCAGAGAGAGAGAGAAGAGAAUAACGUUGGGCAGCAUGGUUCGUCAGCUGGAUGAUCUUCUCACCCACCUGGGAACUGGUAGAUGGUCUGUUCUGCACUUCAUCGUACUGAGCUUUUGUUCCGUCUUUUUGGCCCCACAAGCCCUUGGCGGUGCUUUCCUGGCUCCGCGACUUGAGUACUCUUGUCGUUUGAACAAUUCGAAUA